rnacentral:rRNA from 1 species
UACGGGGGGGGCAAGCGUUGUUCGGAAUUACUGGGCGUAAAGGGCGCGUAGGCGGCCUGCUAAGUCGGAUGUGAAAUCCCUCGGCUCAACCGAGGAACUGCAUCCGAUACUGGCGGGCUUGAAUCCGGGAGAGGGAUGUGGGAAUUCCAGGUGUAGCGGUGAAAUGCGUAGAUAUCUGGAGGAACACCGGUGGCGAAGGCGGCAUCCUGGACCGGUAGUUGACGCUGAGGCGCGAAAGCUAGGGGAGCAAAC